rnacentral:misc_RNA from 1 species
UUAAGUUCAGCGGGUAGUCCUACCUGAUUUGAGGCCAAAGCUUUAAAAUAGUUGUCCGCGAGGGACGGCUGUAAGCAGCGCCGCUGAAGAGGCCCAGGGCUAUUGGCGCAGAUAAUUAUCACACCGUCGCCCAGCACUCUAAAAGCGCCAGCUAAUGCAUUUCAAGACGAGCCGACUACGGCACGGUCCAAGUCCACCGC